rnacentral:rRNA from 1 species
CCUACGGGGGGCAGCAGUGGGGAAUAUUGGACAAUGGGCGAAAGCCUGAUCCAGCCAUGCCGCGUGUGUGAAGAAGGCCUUCGGGUUGUAAAGCACUUUCAGUGGGGAAGAAAGCCUUGGGGCUAAUACCCUCGAGGAAGGACAUCACCCACAGAAGAAGCACCGGCUAACUCCGUGCCAGCAGCCGCGGUAAUACGGAGGGUGCGAGCGUUAAUCGGAAUUACUGGGCGUAAAGCGCGCGUAGGCGGUCUGAUAAGCCGGUUGUGAAAGCCCCGGGCUCAACCUGGGAACGGCGUCCGGAACUGUCAGGCUAGAGUGCAGGAGAGGAAGGUAGAAUUCCCGGUGUAGCGGUGAAAUGCGUAGAGAUCGGGAGGAAUACCAGUGGCGAAGGCGGCCUUCUGGACUGACACUGACGCUGAGGUGCGAAAGCGUGGGUAGCAAACAGGAUUAGAUACCCCUGUAGUC